rnacentral:rRNA from 1 species
GCAAUGCCGCGUGUGUGAAGAAGGCCUUCGGGUUGUAAAGCACUUUCAGUAGGGAAGAAAGUCUCAAGGCUAAUACCCUUGAGCGUUGACGUUACCUACAGAAGAAGCACUGGCUAACUCUGUGCCAGCAGCCGCGGUAAU